GACGAACGCUGGCGGGCGUGGAUUAGGCAUGCAAGUCGAACGGUAGGAUACCUUCGGGUAUCUGAGAGUGGCGAACGGGUGAGUAACACGUAGGUGAUCUACCCUCAAGAUUGGGACAACCCAGGGAAACUUGGGCUAAUACCGGAUGAAAGCAGCAGUGAUGUUGUUUGAAAGGUGGCGUAAGCUGCCGUUUGGGGAUGAGCCUGCGCUCUAUUAGUUAGUUGGCGGGGUAAAGGCCCACCAAGGCGAUGAUAGAUAGGCGGCCUUAACGGGUGGUCGCCCACACUGGGAUUGAGAUACGGCCCAGACUCCUACGGGAGGCAGCAGUCGAGAAUAGUCUACAAUGGCCGAAAGGCUGAUAGUGCGACGCCGCGUGAACGAAGAAGCCCUUCGGGGUGUAAAGUUCUUUUAUAUGUGAGCAGUGCUUUCUAUGUGAACAGCAUGGGGAGAGAGAUAUUAGCAUAUGAAUAAGCAACGGCUAACUCCGUG
rnacentral:rRNA from 1 species